UGCUGUUCGUACUCGCUACUCGUUGCGCUAUCAUUGUGCGUUGUAUUUGUUUUGAUGUUUGUUACUUACCACCGUGUGUAUUAUUUUUCCGUUCCCUUUUCCCUCAUGCUGUAAAACAUCACGCGUUAUGUGUUACGAGGCCGGGGAGAAGUGGACAGAGACAGAACUGCAUGCAUCCUAAUACCAGGAAACCCAGAUGGAUCGGAUCGAUGGCCGUGAUGAGGCUCUAAAUGUGAAGAGUCAUCACAUGAAAAGAAAGGCUGCAGCAGGAAGUGAAGGACAGCUCUUCAGGAACUAGAGAAACAGCUGCUCGCAGGCCUGGAUUGCGCGUGGUCCCCAGGCCUGUGAUCUCAUUCGCACGAUGGACGUCCCUCGACGUGGACAAACAGCAUCUGACUUUUCGCUCAUCACUAAAUCAAGCUGAUGAUCAGGAGCGAGUCCAAACUGCUCACAUCAUGCAGACAUUUUAUAAAGUUGUAUCCACUCAAGCUUGACUUUAUGUGCUUUUGUGUAUUUGCAGAGCUGCUUUAUGUGGUAUGGGGAGAGCGGAGAGCCAUUCAGUGCACAAAACAAUAUUAUAACAAAAGAAAGAGCACAUUGGGCUUCCAAAUGGUGUCUGUGGAAAAGUGUAAAAACUUUUUAUAUAGAAAUUUAUUUAUUUAUUUACAGUUUUAUUCUGCUUUUUAUAGAUUGAUCGAACAUCACAGAUUAAUCAAAAGACAGUACGUUUUUUUUAGUUUUAAACAUCUGAACAGUAUUCUAAUA